AAGAGGCGCCAAACAAAACCACUCCACUCGGCGACUUCUUCAAUAAACGCCACUAGAAAUCCGCGAGUUGAGUUUGGUAGCGCGCCAACCAAGAGCGGGAGCACAGCUGAGAAAUAUCAAGGAAGAACCCACCCAGAAACCCCCAAUUUUUCAAGCUUUCCUCUAUCAUCCACAAUUCCUGAAGCUCAUACCCUCCCCUGUCGAGUUGCGCAGCUGCCUUCGCGACCAGUCCCCUGGCACUGGCACGAUAUGAAAAUACUCUUGUUGUUGAACUGGAUAUUGCAGCACAAGAUGAAUUCAAACUCAUAGAACACAGACUUGAACGUCUAUGGGAACGGUUAACAUUUUCCCAGAUUCAGGAGGCAUCCGAAGCUGCUGGAGAGGUGGUUCCGGAUUCAGAGGAGAAAGAGGACGUUGUCCCCUCCGGUGGCUCUGAAGAGGCUGAUUCUGCUGGUCAAAAUGCCUCGAUGCUGUCGUAUGACCUCAAUAAAACGCCGAAAGAGAAUGAUUAUCCUUAUAGUGGAAUGUCACCUGACGAGAAAAAUGCCUGGCACCUAGCUAUGUGGGCGACUAGAUACUUGAACCCUUGAGGAUAUUGCAGUAGUUUAAUUGAAGAAUUAGGAUGUUGAUUUAUAGGAUGUCCAAGACUUGUUUUUUGAAGUUGUCGUGACUUUAUAAUUCUUCAGAUUGUUAUUAGGGAUCGUUAGUAUGCUGCAUUGAAGGUCCUUGGUCUACUGCUUUAUG